UUCCACCUACGGGGGGCAGCAGUGGGGGAUAUUGCACAAUGGGGGGAACCCUGCUGCAGCGACGCCGCGUGGGUGAAGGAGCGUUUCGGCGCGUAAAGCCCUAUCGGCAGGGAAGAAGAUGACGGUACCUGACCAAGAAGCCCCGGCUAACUACGUGCCAGCAGCCGCGGUAAUACGUAGGGGGCAAGCGUUAUCCGGAUUUACUGGGUGUAAAGGGCGUGUAGCCGGGCUGACAAGUCAGAUGUGAAAUCCCGUGGCUCAACCACGGAACU
rnacentral:rRNA from 1 species